rfam:Aliiglaciecola lipolytica E3 DNA, contig: CTG076.
GGGCACAAAGCUAAAGAUUGUUAUAUUUUAGCGACAGAAUAUGAAAUGGGAAUUUGGUGUAAAUCCAAAACUGUACCCGCAACUGUAAUUAGUCAGCCUACAUCAGCGGCUAAAAGUCAGAUACCAACGUAAUAUUCAAUUACUCA